rnacentral:rRNA from 1 species
AAACCAACCGGGAUUGCCUUAGUAACGGCGAGUGAAGCGGCAAAAGCUCAAAUUUGAAAUCUGGUACCUUCGGUGCCCGAAUUGUAAUUUGGAGAGGGCAACUUUGGGGCCGUUCCUUGUCUAUGUUCCUUGGAACAGGACGUCAUAGAGGGUGAGAAUCCCGUGUGGCGAGGAGUGCGGUUCUUUGUAAAGUGCCUUCGAAGAGUCGAGUUGUUUGGGAAUGCAGCUCUAAGUGGGUGGUAAAUUCCAUCUAAAGCUAAAUAUUGGCGAGAGACCGAUAGCGAACAAGUACAGUGAUGGAAAGAUGAAAAGAACUUUGAAAAGAGAGUGAAAAAGUACGUGAAAUUGUUGAAAGGGAAGGGCAUUUGAUCAGACAUGGUGUUUUGUGCCCUCUGCUCCUUGUGGGUAGGGGAAUCUCGCAUUUCACUGGGCCAGCAUCAGUUUUGGUGGCAGGAUAAAUCCAUAGGAAUGUAGCUUGCCUCGGUAAGUAUUAUAGCCUGUGGGAAUACUGCCAGCUGGGACUGAGGACUGCGACGUAAGUCAAGGAUGCUGGCAUAAUGGUUAUAUGCCGCCCGUCUUGAAACACGGACC